UACAGAGGUCUCAAGCGUUGUUCGGAUUCAUUGGGCGUAAAGGGUGCGUAGGUGGCGGGGUAAGUCAGGUGUGAAAUCUCGGGGCUCAACCCCGAAACUGCACUUGAUACUGCCGUGCUUGAGGACUGGAGAGGAGACUGGAAUUUACGGUGUAGCGGUGAAAUGCGUAGAUAUCGUAAGGAAGACCAGUGGCGAAGGCGGGUCUCUGGACAGUUCCUGACGCUGAGGCACGAAGGCCAGGGGAGCAAACGGG
rnacentral:rRNA from 1 species